AUUCAUAAACUAGAAGUCUAUAAAAGUCAAAUCUAACACAAGGAAGUCGAUUCUUUUAGUUUCGUUUCAUUCAUUCUGUUUGGGUGGAGAAGAGAGUCGACUUUUUUUUUUUUUUUUUUUAAUCCACACCCUCUCUAGUCUACUUACGUCACUGUAGUAUCUCAGCAGGAAAUGUCCUGAACUUUACAGGUCCGAACUUCCUCCCAGACUUUCCAGCCUGCCCUAGCAUGCCUUGCUCCCGCCUCCCAGGAUGACCUCACUAAAUGGCAGCCAUAUUUAAAGAGGAAGAGGAGGGAGAAUGGUGUGGGAUGUUGGAGGUGGUGGUUUAGAGAGUGUGCUUGUGCUGCUUGUAUGCUAUAUUCUGACUGCUGUGUUUUUUUGGUUUUUUUUUUAAAUAACCUUUGCCUGGUUUUUGACAUUGAGUUUGGUUGUCCCUGUACCUGUUUAUGUGCAUUCUAUCCACCAUUGUAUAUAUAUUUUGCACUUGGUUCACCUGCAGUAGGGGUGUGGCUGCCAUUUCUUUUGGGAGAGGGUCCUUUCGUCUCUGUUUUUGGUUUAGGUAGUUAGGGAAGUAUCUUUAUUUUCUUUAUUUUCCUAGGUAAGCUAGCUACCUAACAAAAGAAUUCUUUUGUUUAUUAUUUUGGAUUUGGCCCACCCUGAAGUUUUGUUUGCUGUUUGGUUCUUUGUAUAGUUGUAUGUAUAUAAUUGUGUGUUACCACAACUUUUGUUGAACAACCCUGUUUGUGUUGUUAUUCCUGGCUUUCCUUAUUUAAAGGUCAACUUCCAUUGAAUCCCGAGCUGGUUACUCUGUGCGGCCUAACCUAGACUGGGCCGUAACAGUGUGAACCAUGCCUACAUCCCAUCGACGAUCACAGGACUGUAAAAGACACAUUAUAGAGAUGCACAAAGCUGGAAAAGGCUGAAAAACACUUCUAAACAUCUGGGUGUUCAUCAAUCCACAAUAAGACAAAAUGUCAAGUAUAAAUGGAGGAAAUGUAAAAUGUAGAAAUAUAUUUUGGAAAAAAUAUGUUCUAUCCCUCCUGUUGGUGUUCCAGAGACUUGUCAUAGAUCUUGCAGAUCUCUGGAUCCUUAAUGAUUAUUAUCGUAAGAAUAAAAUGACAGGCUUCGAGUCUUUGACAUUGUGUAAGUAUACUAGUCUUCUCAUAAGGUUUUUUUUAAACACUGUAAAAUCCUUACAAUAAUGUUACCUCUUACCUUUUACUAUACGUAGCAAGCAAUUCACAAUCACUGUUAAGUGUAAAGUGAGUGAGAUAUGUAAAGACAAUAAUUACCAGAUACUACAUAUAUAGGAAAUUAGUAGACAAUAAUGUUUUAAUGCUUAAUGUUAUCCUGUCAAUCAUUUUGAUUCACUUAACACACUUGUUUUCACACAUUUUGUGUUUUAAGCACUAAAGCAAAAUGGAUAAUGUUGUCUUUCUAAUAAGAUAAUUAUAUUUAUAUGGACUGUAAAGAGAACAGAGAGCACAAUGCAGAACAUUCAUUUAAAUUGACUAACAAAGUGGGUCUCUUAAAGAUUCACAACAUUUAUUGUUUGGAUUUUGUAAUAAUAUUUGGUAAACAUAUGGUUAAAAAGAUGAACCUUAAAGUAGUUUAAAUCACAAUUAUGUGUUUUUAUUUAUUUGGGAGGCUUUUUCGCUUUAUUGGGGUAGGGAUAGUAGAGAAUUGACAAGGCAAUAUAGGGUAGAAGAGUGGGGGUGUGAUCGGGAAAAUACCCUCUGAGCUGGGAAACAAACCCUUCACUGUAAGAGAGAAGCAGUUGAUUUGUCACCUUUCUCUACAUUUAGACUAAACAAAGAACUAACAAAUAAAUAGCUUAUUUACAUGAAGAAUGUUCUGUUCAAGAUGAGAGAAACUGUCUCAGUAAAUGUGACUGGGUGGACAUAACAUGGACUGGAGGAUAAAUGUCCCAUUCCACACAACAGGACUGGUACAGCUGUGGAGUGUUUGUCAUGCAGGUUGGAUUUCCUCAUUAAAUUGUACGACAUAAAUAAAAACAAGUUCUUAUAAUAAACUCUGACAGUUCUUAUAAAUUUGUGGAGCAGAAUGUUGAUUUGGUUCAGUCUUGUAAGACCCCUGGAGUGUACCUAGACAACAAACCAGAAUGGAGCGGGUAAAUUGAGGCUACACAGAGGAAGGUCAGAGCAAACUGUACUUUAUGUGGAGGCUCAGGCUCUUCAAUGUUUGUUCAAUGUAGAUUAUGUAAAUAGUGUAUUGAAUAUGAUUUAUGGAUUUAGAUGUGUGUGUUUUGUUUGUUUGUAUGUAUGGCUGCUGUGGUGAAACAAUCUCCCCUGGACAAUAAAAAAAAAAAAAAAAAAAACAAACAAAAAAAAAAAACAAUAACUUGUCUUAUGUAGAUGGAAAAAUAAUUUGUUGGUGCUUUUCCAAAUAUCCCUUGCCAUUUGACUCUAAACUCAUCCAAGGAGCACAUGGAACAUCUGCGAUUGACAAUGGCAGAGGAACUUCUGAAAGCCUCAGGUGCCUGCAGAAAGGCAUACACACACCAAAAACCCCAGAGUGUGGAGGAAAUGAUUGCUGUGACCCUAAAACAUGCCACAGAUCG